CAACACUUGACAUGUUCGUCGCGACUCUAAGAGAUUAGAGUUUUCGGUUCGGCCGGACGAAACACAGGUGCUGCAUGGCUGUCGUCAGCUCGUGUCGUGAGAUGUUGGGUUAAGUCCCGCAACGAGCGCAACCCUCACUUUUAGUUGCCAUCAUUAAGUUGGGCACUCUGAAAGAACUGCCAGUGAUAAGCUGGAGGAAGGUGGGGAUGACGUCAAGUCCUCAUGGCCCUUACGUGUUGGGCUACACACGUGCUACAAUGGUAUCUACAACAGGAAGCAAGACUGCGAGGUCAAGCAAAUCCUUAAAAGAUACCUCAGUUCGGAUUGCACUCUGCAACUCGAGUGCAUGAAGCUGGAAUUACUAGUAAUCGUGGAUCAGCGUGCCACGGUGAAUGCGUUCCCGGGUCUGUACACACCGAAUCUAGAGCAUCGGAGCGC
rnacentral:rRNA from 1 species